UACUCAAAAAGCUGUGAGUCA
rnacentral:miRNA from 1 species